UCGAGAAUCUUCGACAAUGGGCGAAAGCCUGAUGCAGCCAUGCCGCGUGUGUGAAGAAGGCUCUAGGGUUGUAAAGCACUUUCAGCAAGGAGGAAAGGUUGUAAGUUAAUACCUUGCAACUGUGACGUUACUUGCAGAAGAAGCACCGGCUAACUCCGUGCCAGCAGCCGCGGUAAUACGGAGGGUGCGAGCGUUAAUCGGAAUUACUGGGCGUAAAGCGCGCGUAGGCGGUCUGUUAAGCUGGAUGUGAAAGCCCAGGGCUCAACCUUGGAACUGCAUUCAGAACUGGCAGACUAGAGUAUUGGAGAGGUAAGUGGAAUUUCCCGUGUAGCAGUGAAAUGCGUAGAUAUGGGAAGGAACACCAGUGGCGAAGGCGACUUACUGGCCAAAUACUGACGCUGAGGUGCGAAAGCGUGGGGAGCAAACGGG
rnacentral:rRNA from 1 species